GACGAACGCUGGCGGCGUGCUUAACACAUGCAAGUCGAACGGAAAGGCCCUGCUUUUGUGGGGUGCUCGAGUGGCGAACGGGUGAGUAACACGUGAGUAACCUGCCCUUGACUUUGGGAUAACUUCAGGAAACUGGGGCUAAUACCGGAUAGGAGCUCCUGCUGCAUGGUGGGGGUUGGAAAGUUUCGGCGGUUGGGGAUGGACUCGCGGCUUAUCAGCUUGUUGGUGGGGUAGUGGCUUACCAAGGCUUUGACGGGUAGCCGGCCUGAGAGGGUGACCGGCCACAUUGGGACUGAGAUACGGCCCAGACGCCUACGGGGGGCAGCAGUGGGGAAUAUUGCGCAAUGGGCGGAGGCCUGAUGCAGCAACGCCGCGUGCGGGAUGACGGCCUUCGGGUUGUAAACCGCUUUCGCCUGUGACGAAGCGUGAGUGACGGUAAUGGGUAAAGAAGCACCGGCUAACUACGUG
rnacentral:rRNA from 1 species